CCAAAUAGAAUUCUCCGAUCCUCCCAAGUCCCACCAGCCACCGCUCCGAUCCUCUCCCACCGGCCACCGCUCUUUCUCUUCAGUUCUCGCUCCGGUCUGUUCUGGGGCUUAUUCUUCAGGUCUGUUUUGGGGCUUUUCCUCACCGUCGGAGAGAACACUAAACAAAGCUACUUACUUUCUGUACAGAGGAUUAGCCUGUGAUUCCAAGGAAUAAUUCCGAACUUUAUGAACGAAAUCUUUCCUCUUUAGGUAAAAUAUAACUCCAAUUAUUUUUUAUCAUCGUCUCCUCGUUCAUUGUUCCGGAAAUCUCGAUCUCACUGGAAUUAAAGAAGUUUUAUUAUUUUUACUAACCUAUAUAUGAAAUUAGUACUUUCUUAGUCAAAUUUCAACUUAUUUUCACCUUCCUCAUGCGCUAAUUUUAGUAUUGUGAUUCAGUGUUUGCUUCUGUGAGUUUA
rnacentral:lncRNA from 1 species